rnacentral:rRNA from 1 species
UACAGAGGUCUCAAGCGUUGUUCGGAUUCAUUGGGCGUAAAGGGCGCGUAGGCUGCGGGGCAAGUCGGGUGUGAAAUCUCAGAGCUCAACUCUGAAACUGCACUCGAUACUGCUUUGCUUGAGGACUGGAGAGGAGAUUGGAAUUCACGGUGUAGCAGUGAAAUGCGUAGAUAUCGUGAGGAAGACCAGUUGCGAAAGCGGGUCUCUGGGCAAUUCCUGACGCUGAGGCACGAAGGCUAGGGGAGCAAACGGG